rnacentral:rRNA from 1 species
UGGGGAAUUUUGCACAAUGGGCGCAAGCCUGAUGCAGCGACGCCGCGUGAGGGAUGAAGGCCUUCGGGUUGUAAACCUUUUUCGCUCAUGGUCAAGCCGCAGCUUUGGGUUGUGGUGAGGGUAGUGGGUAAAGAAGCGCCGGCUAACUACGUGCCAGCAGCCGCGGUAAUACGUAGGGCGCGAGCGUUGUCCGGAAUUAUUGGGCGUAAAGGGCUUGUAGGCGGUUGGCCGCGUCUGCCGUGAAAUCCUCUGGCUUAACUGGGGGCGUGCGGUGGGGACGGGUUGACUUGAGUGCGGUAGGGGAGACUGGAAUUCCUGGUGUAGCGGUGGAAUGCGCAGAUAUCAGGAGGAACACCGGUGGCGAAGGCGGGUCUCUGGGCCGUUACUGACGCUGAGGAGCGAAAGCGUGGGGAGCGAACAGG